rnacentral:lncRNA from 1 species
AUCGAUCGGGGUCCUGUUCAUCCAGAGGCAACACCACGGGAUCCUGUCCAUCCACCCCCACCGUGAACUGUUCAUCCAGAUCCCCCUGCAACGCUCACUGUUCAUCCAGAGGCAGGAUCGAUCGGCUUCAGUUAGCAGCAGUAGCGAAGGAAUCGCUCGAUCAGGUUCAGUUAACAGCCAUCGAUCGAUCGCUCGGGUUCAGUAACGCGUAGCCUGCAGUGCAAUCGCUCGGGUUCAGUAGGCGAACGCCUCGCUCGGGUUCAGUUAGAGCCCAACACCUCGCACCCAUGCGUGUGUGUGUACAAGAGAAACACGCAAACCUCCGUGCAUCGCUCGGCCCCGACCACCCACUGUAACCGGGAAUACCCCGAUAUUUCCCUUGCCCUCGCUUCUACCACAGUUUUUCCAUCAUGGACGGCCCAAAGAAUGUCAUGCAGCUGCAUCUCUGCCCCGCCCAGGACGAAAAGCCCAUUUUCUGUCAUGAUUUUUUGUCAUAGAAGUAGGAUCCCGCCACAUCUAUGAUGAUACCGGGAUUUGUCACAAUUAUCAUCAUAGAAGUGUCAUAAGUAUGAGAGAGAGAAAAUUCGUUCGACCCAAAAUGUCACGGAUGUGUCUUUUUUUUGUAGUGUUACAAUUUUAGCACUUGUAGACAUUACCUUGCUGAAAACCACUUGUCAUUUUCUUCUGCUCCUCGUUGGGUUCGACACUCUUACUUAUCGAAAAGAGCUACAAUUGACCCCAUACACUUGUGGGUCAUCAAGGCAAAGCGCUCUUGGUAAGUGGAAAUUGGUAAGGAAACAUUGUUACUAUGUCCUGAAAUAUGUUGUCACUUGCUACUAUGGAAAAUAAUCCUUUGAGGGGUUUGUUCGGGGUAUCUUCACCUCGACCGGAACCACAAUUAGUUACCCCUCAACCUAAUGCACCUACUGAAAAUAUUUAAUAUGAAAUUCCUUCGGGUAUGUUAGAACAACUCCUAGCUAAUCCUUAUGCAGGAGAUGGAACCGAACAUCCUGAUAUGCACUCGAUAUAUGUGGAUGAAAUUUGUGGAUUAUUUAAGCUUGUAGGUUUGCCCGGAGAUGAAGCUAAGAAGAAGGUUUUCCCUUUAUCUUUAAAGGGAAAAGCAUUGACAUGGUAUAGGAUAUGCGAUGAUAUUGGAUCUUGGAACUGGAACAGUUUGAAAUUGGAAUUUCAUCACAAAUGUUAUCCUAUGCAUCUAGUUCAUCGUGAUCGGAAUUAUAUAUAUAAUUUUUGGCCUCGUGAAGGAUGAAGUAUUGCUCUAGCUUGGGGAAGGCUUAAGUCAAUGUUAUAUUCAUGCCCCAAUCAUGAGCUCUCGAGAUAAAUUAUUAUUCAGAACUUUUAUGCUCGGCUUUCUCGUAAUGAUCAAUCCAUGCUUGAUACUUCUUGUACUAGUUCUUUUAUGAAGAAGACUAUUGAAUUCCGGUGGGAUCGAAAGAAUUAAACACAACUCUGAAGAUUUGGAACUCGAUGAAGGUAAAGAUUCAGGUAUUGAACCUAAGUUUGAUUGUGUUAAAUCUUUUAUGAAUACCGAUGCUUUCCGAAAGUUUAGCACUAAAUAUGGACUUGACUCUGAGAUAGUAGCUUCCUUUUGUGAAUCUUUUGCUACUGAUGUUGAUCUCCCUAAGGAUAAGUGGUUUAAGUACCACCCACCAAUUAAAUAACUGGUAAAAGCUAAAGAAGAGACUAUCAUUUUCAAUGUUGAUCCAGUUGUUCCCACUUCUUAUAUUGAAAAACCGCCUUUUCCUGUUAGGAUGAAGGAACAUGCUAAAGCUUCAACUGUGGUUAACAAAAGUUGUGUUAGAACAUUCAAACCUUCUGAACAAAUCAAAGUUGAACGUAGUUUUGCUAUGGUUAAAUAUAUCUUAGUUGAAAAUAUUGAUGGGAAUGUUAUUUACUUCUGUGAUGAAGCUUGUAGAAUUGCUAAACCUGAAGGAAAAGAUAAACAUAGACCCGUUGUUGGCAUGCCUGUUGUCUCAGUUAAGAUAGGAGAUCAAUGUUAUCAUGGGUUAUGUGACAUUGGUGCUAGUGUGAGUGAUAUUCCCUUCUCCUUAUAUGAAGAAAUUAGAGAUGAAAUAGCACCUGCUGAAAUAGAAGACAUAGAUGUUACUAUUAAACUUGCUAAUAGAGAUACUAUAUCACCAAUUGGGAUUUUUUAUAGAUGUUGAAGUCUUGUGUGGGAAGAUAAAAUACCCUACUAAUUUUCUUAUUCUUACCCCCCCACAAGAUGAUUUUUGUCCCAUGAUAUUUGGUAGACCUUUCUUGAACACCGUCAAUGCUAAAAUAGACUGUAAGAAACAAACUGUCGGUGUUAGCUUUGGUGAUGAAUCUCAUGAGUUCAAUUUUUCCAAGUUUAGUAAACAACCUCAUAAGAAAUAUUUGCCCAGUAAUGACGAAAUUAUUGGUCUUGCUUCUAUUGUUGUGCCUCCUACUGAUCCUUUGGAACAAUAUUUGCUAGACCAUGAAAAUGAUUUGCAUAUGCGUGAGAGAAAUGAAAUAGAUAGAAUCUUUUUCGAACAACAACCUCUGCUUAAACACAAUUUGCCUAUUGAAACUCUAGGAGGUCCUCCUCCAGCUAAAGGUGAUCCUGUUUUUGAAUUAAAACAAUUACCAGACACUCUAAAAUAUGCUUAUCUUGAUGAAAAUAAGAUAUAUCCUAUUAUUAUCAGUGCUAACCUUUCAGAACAUGAAGAAGAAAGAUUAUUGAAAGUUCUAAGGAAGCACAGGGCUGCUAUUGGAUAUACUCUUGAUGAUCUUAAGGGCAUUAGUCCCACUGUAUGUCAACACAAGACUAAUAUGGUACCUGAUGCUAAACCCGUUGUUGAUCACCAACGUCGGUUAAAUCUGAAAAUGAAAGAAGUGGUAAGAAUGGAAAUAUUGAAACUUCUGGAAGCAGGUAUAAUCUAUCCUAUAGCUAAUAGUAGAUGGGUAAGUCAUGUUCAUUGUGUCCCUAAGAAGGGAGGUAUUACUGUUGUUAGUAAUGAUAAGAAUGAGCUUAUUCCACAAAUAAUUGUUACAGGCUAUAGAAUGGUAAUUGAUUAUAGAAAAUUAAAUAAAGCUACUAGAAAAGAUCAUUAUCCUCUGCCUUUUAUUGGUCAAAUGUUAGAAAGACUAUCUAAGAACACACAUUUUUGCUUCCUUGAUGGAUACUCUGGCUUUUCACAAAUACUUGUUUUACAAUCUAAUCAAGAAAAGACCACUUUUACUUGUCCUUUUGGAACAUUUGCUUAUAGACGUAUGCCUUUCAGUUUAUGUAAUGCACAUGGUACCUUUCAAAGAUGUAUGACUGCUAUCUUCUUUGAUUUUUGUGAAAAGAUUGUUGAGGUUUUCAUGGAUGACUUUUCUGUUUAUGUGAAGUCUUUUGAUGAUUGUUUAAGCAAUCUUGAUUGAGUUUUGCAGAGAUGUGAACAAACAAAUCUUGUCUUGAAUAGGGAGAAGUGCCACUUUAUGGUUAAUGAAGGUAUUGUCUUGGUCCACAAAAUUUCUGAAAGAGGCAUUGAGGUGGACAAAGCCAAGGUUGAUGCAAUUGAGAAAAUGCCAUGUCCUAAAGAUAUCAAAGGUAUUCAUAAUUUCCUUGGUCAUGCUGGUUUCUAUAGAAGGUUUAUCAAAGACUUUUCUAAAAUUUCUAGGCCUCUUACUAAUCUUUUUCAAAACGAUAUUCCCUUUGUGUUUGAUGAUGAUUGUAUGGAAGCCUUUGAAACACUAAAAAAAGCCUUAAUUACUGCACCUGUUGUUCAACCACCUGAUUGGAACUUGCCUUUUGUGAUUAUUUGUGAUGCUAGUGAUUAUAUUGUUGGUGCUGUUCUAGGACAAAGCGUUGAUAAGAAACUAAAUGUUAUUCAUUAUGCUAGUAAAAUUCUAGACAGUGCUCAACGAAACUAUGCUACUAUUGAAAAAGAAUUCUUAGCAGUGGUGUUUGCUUGUGAUAAAUUCAGAUCUUACAUUGUUUAUUCUAAAGUAAUUGUUCACACCAAUCAUGCUGCUAUAAAAUAUGUUAUGGAAAAGAAAGAUGCUAAACCUAGACUCAUUAGGUGGGUUCUUCUGCUACAAGAAUUUGAUUUACAUAUUACUAAUAGGAAAGGAGCAGAGAACCCCGUAGUUGAUAACUUGUCUAGACUUGAAAAUAUUCUUGAUGACCCACAACCAAUUAAUGAUAGCUUCCCUGAUGAACAACUAGAUGCAAUAAAUGUUUCUCAUAGUACACCUUGGUAUGCUGACUAUGCUAAUUAUAUUGUUGCCAAAUACAUACCACCUAGCUUCACAUACCAACAAAAGAAAAAAAUUCUUCUAUUACUUAAGACAUUACUUUUGGGAUGACCCACAUCUUUAUAAAGAAGGAGCAGAAGGUAUUAUUAGACAUUGUGUACCUGAGCAUGAACAUGAACAAAUCCUACGGAAGUGUCACUCCGAAGCUUAUGGAGGACAUCACGCGGGAGACAAAACCGCUCAUAAGGUAUUGCAAUCUGGUUUUUAUUGGCCUACUCUCUUCAAGGAUGCCCGUAAGUUUGUCUCAUAUUGUGAUGAAUGCCAAAGAAUAGGUAAUAUUGGCAAGCGUCAAGAAAUUUCUAUGAAUUAUUCACUUGCUGUUGAACCAUUUUAUGUUUGGAGAUCUGACUUUAUGGGAGCUUUUGCUUCCUCUAAUGGGUAUACACAUAUUUUGGUUGCUAUUGAUUAUGUUACUAAAUGGGUAGAAGCUAUUCCAACCAGUAGUGUUGAUCACAACACCUCUAUUAAAAUGCUUAAGGAAGUUAUUUUCCCAAGGUUUAGAGUCCCUAGAUAUUUAAUGACUUCACAUUUUAUUCAUGGUGCUUUCUGUAAAAUGCUUGCUAAGUAUGAUGUCAAUCAUAGAAUUGCUUCACCUUAUCAUCCUCAGUCUAGUGGUCAAGUUGAACUUAGAAAUGGAGAAAUAAAACUAAUCUUACGAAAGACUGUUAAUAGGUCCCGGAAGAAUUGGUCUAAGAAAUUAGAUGAUGCACCUUGGGCUUAUAGAACAACCUAUAAAAAUCUUAUGGCUAUGUCUCCAUAUAAAAUGGUAUAUGGAAAAGCUUGUCAUUUACCUCUUGAGUUAGAACAUAAAGCAUUUUGGGCAAUAAAAGAACUCAACUAUGAUUUCAAGCUUGCUGGAGAAAAAAGGUUAUUUGGCAUUAGCUCAUUAGAUGAACGGAGAACCCAGGCUUAUGAAAAUUCUAAGUUAUUCAAAGAAAAAAGUUAAAAAAUGGCACGACAAAGGAAUCCAAAAGCGUGAGUUCAAAGUAGGAGGAUAUGUUCUUUUGUACAACUCUCAUUUAAGAUUCUUUGCAGGAAAACUCCUCUCUAAAUGGGAAGGACCAUAUGUCAUCGAGGAGGUUUAUCGUUCUAGAGCUCAAAAUAAAUAACGCCGAGGGGACUAACCCGAAGGUUGUCAAUGGGCAAUGAAUAAAACAAUCUCAGGUAUGCCCAUUAAUAUAGAAAGCAAUGUUAUUCAAAUUUUAACACCGGAAGAACACAUAAAAGAGUCCUUUCGGAACACUCCAGAAUCAUGAAAAUAAGGAGGUGCGUGAUAAGGUAAGUAAAUGGACUCUGAAAAAUCCGCAAAAAUAUUUUUUGUCAGUUUUGGAAUAUGUAGAAAAUUAGGAAAAUAAGAAACUUCUAGGAAAGUGACCCUGGUGGGCACGAUACACCAGGGUGCGCUGAUGUCUACUACACAACCUUCUUCUUGUAGCCGUUGUUGGGCCUGCAAGUGCACAGUUUGUAGGACUGUAGCAAAUUUCUCUCAAGUGGAUGACCUAAGGUUUAUCAAUCCGUAGGAGGCGUAGGAUGAAGAUGGUCUCUCAAGCAACCCUGCAACCAAAUAACAAAGAAUCUUUUGUGUCCCCAACCCACCCAAUACAAUGGUAAAUUGCAUAGGUGCACUAGUUCGGCGAAGAGAUGGUGAUACAAGUGCAAAAUAGAUAGUAGAUAUAGGUUUUUGUAAUCUGAAAUUAUAAAAACAGCAAGGUAGCAAGCGAUAAAAGUGAGUGUAAACGGUAUUGCAAUGAUAGGAAACAAGGCCUAGGGUUCAUACUUUCACUAGUGCAAGUUCUCUCAACAAUAAUAACAUAGAUAGAUAUUAUAACAAUCCCUCAACAUGCAACAAAGAGUCACUUCAAAGACACUAAUAGCAGAGAACGAACGAAGAUAUUAUGGUAGGGUACGAAACCACCUCAAAGUUAUUCUUUCAGAUCGAUCUAUAAAAGAGUUCGUACUAGAAUAACACCUUAAGACACAAAUCAACCAAAACCCUAAUGUCACCUAGAUACUCCAUUGUCACCUCAAGUAUCCGUGGGCAUGAUCAUAUGAUAUGCAUAACACAAUCUCAGAUUCAUCUAUUCAACCAACACAAAAGUACUUCAAAGAGUGCCCCAAAGUUUCUACCAGAGAGUCAAGAACGUGUGUCAACCCCUAUGCAUAGGUUCAUGGGCGGAACCCGCAAGUUGGUCACCAAAACAUACAUCAAGAGGCACAUGAUAUCCCAUUGUCACCACAGAUAAGCACGGCAAGACAUACAUCAAGUGUUCUCAUAAAAGACUCAAUUCGAUAAGAUAACUUCAAAGGGGAAACUCAAUUCAUCACAAUAGAGUAGACAGGGAGAAACAUCAUAAGAUCCAACUACAAUAGCAAAGCUCGGGAUACAUUAAGAUCGUGCCAUAGAGGGAACACAAGAGAGAACACGAGAGAGAGAGAGAGAGAGAUCAAACACAUAGCUACUGGUACAUACCCUCAGCCUCGAGGGUGAACUACUCCCUCCUCGUCAUGGAGAGCGCCGGGAUGAUGAAGAUGGCCACCGGUGAUGGAUCCCCCCUCCGGCAGGGUGCCGGGAAGGGCUCCCGAGAGGUUUUUGGUGGCUACAGAGUAUUGCAGCGGCGGAACUCCAGAUCUAUCUUCUCCAUGGAUGUUUUUAGGGUACGUGGGACUAUAUAGGCGAAAGAAGUCGGUCGGGGGGUGCUCGAGGGGUCCACGAGACAGGGGGCGCGCCCCUGUAAGGGGGGGGGGCACCCUCCUAUCUCGUGGGCUCCUCGAGAAUCUUCUGACUUGAUCUCCAAGCCUCCAGGAUGAUAUUCUUCCAAAAAAUCACGAUGCCGAAGGUUUCAUUCCGUUUGGACUCCGUUUGAUAUUCCUUUUCUUCGAAAUACUGAAACAGGCAAUAAAACAGCAAUAUGGGCUGGGCCUCCGGUUAAUAGGUUAGUCCCAAAAGUAAUAUAAAAAUGUAUAAUAAAGCCCAUAAUCAUUGAAAACAGAUAAUAAAAUAGCAUGGAACAAUCAAAAAUUAUAGAUACGUUGGAGACAUAUCACGCGCCAGGCUGGCGCUCCCAGGUGGAAUGUGCCCACCUCGGGUACUUUCUGAUCUCCGUUUUUCUUCUGUUCUGCUUGUUGUCCAACAUAAAAAAUCUAUAUAUACCUCCCGAACCUGUUAACCUCCGUAUCACGGAGAAAUCUCAUGUUUUCUUUUCUUGUUGUUUUCUGUCAGAUCUGUUGAACCAGGCAUCAUGUCUUCUUCCUCCUCCAACAAUGAAGAAGACGAAGCUUGGUUGCUUCAGGUGGAAUCCAUGGGAGAGGAACUUGAAGAGACCAUUAUGGAGGAAGAUGAGGGAGAUCCGUUCAGGAUCCACCCUCUGGCCUCUAAGGGAGGGACUCUAGCUGGCAUCUCCACUCAUCCUAAUCCCCAUCAAGCCAUGAGGCUCCCAAACAAUCGAGAGGUACCAAGUGAUCAUGAAGAACUCCCUAUAAGGAGGCCUCUGCACAGGUUACAUCGAAACAUUUUUCAUAAUUUGAUCCACAAUUGUGGGUUCGAAAACACACCUCGUGUGCAUAUACCGUCGAGUUGGGACAUAUCUUGUCCAAGAGAAAGUGAUGCAGGGACAAGCUCUUGGGGUCCGGAAAAUAAACAUACCAUGGCUGAGGUGGAGAAGAACACUGAGCUGCUCCAUCGAGUUCUUCAAGAGAUUCACAUCUUAAGAGAUGCACUCAGAGAUGUAUUGGACCAGACUGCUUCCACUCCAUCACCACCAAAACAAAACUGAGUAUUGGGUAUGGGCACUCCCCCUGGCUUUCGCCAAGCUUGGGGGAGGUGCCCCGGUACCGUAUCAAUCUCCACUAUCUUUUGCCUUUAUUUUCUUAGUUCGAUCAAUGGUUAUCUUUUGCUAUUAGAUGAAUAAAAGAUUAGUUCGAUCCUUUCUUUUUGUGAAUUUGCUUAGUGAUCAAUCCUUGUAAUCGUGUGCGAGAUAUAAUAAAGUUUAGUUUGAGUUUUGCCUUCUUUACUUUCUUGCUGCAAUAAAAAGAAAGAAAAUAAAAAGAAAAUAGCAUAUGCUAAUCUUAUGGUAAGUGAUGACAUUACACAAGGAAAAUUAUAAGUAGAAAAUUUUGUUGUAGGUUGACAAACAUAGCAUUGGUCAAUGAUGCAACACAUGAAAGAAUUAAUAUGGGAAGAGAAGAUUCACAUAUAAAUAUACUAUCAUGGAAAGCUUUUGUGAUUGUGAGUACCCACCAAAAUAUUAUAUGCCAAAAUUGUUGACAUUAGAAAAGGAAGACAACUUAAUGAUUUAUGUUUGUUCAUAUUCAGAUAGAAGUCAUAUUUUCAUAGAUCCUUCAACAUGUGGUGCUUGCCCCUAUCUUUGCUAGCCAAAAAUUCCGCACUAAGUAGAGAUACUACUUGUGCAUCCAAAACCCUUAAACCCUAUCUUGUUUGAGAGUCCACCAUACCUACGCAUUGAUUGAGUAAGAUCCUUCAAGUAAUUUGUCGUCGGUGCAAAAGGGGCAAUAAAAAUUGCUUAUAAAAGUGUGAGAUCAUUUAGUGUAAGGGAAAAUUGAGCGUUGUACGAACUUGUGAUGGUGAAGAAUAAAAGCGACUGACUGCAUAAUAAAGGUUGCCAUCACAAGGGGCAAUAUAACGUGAUGUUCUCUUGCACUAAGGGGUUGAGCAUACAAACAAAGAGUGCAUGGCAACCUCUACUUCCCUUUGCGAAGGGCCUAUGUUUUACUUUCAUGUAUUUAAUUUUAGGGAUAAUUAGAUUUAUGCCCCUAGUUGUGUCACACUCGUCUGUUUUACCCCUAAUUCCCAAAAGUCGCCGAUUCUGUCCAAGUCACUUUGCUCCUCUUAUGCUUUUGCCCUUUGACCGUUUGACCAUUAGUUUGAAAACUUCAUAACUAAUUCAUACUAAAUCAGAAAAAUGCAAAUAAGAUACCAAAAUGUUCAGAAAAACAUCAUCUAUAUGUCAGAGUCAUUUGCAUUAAUGAAAAAGUGUUAGAAAGUGCACAUCUGAGUUUUAGCUCUUUUGAUACCACCAUGAAUAGUAAACUCUAAAAAAAUUCAAAAAAAAUCAAAAAAAUGGUGGCAAAGAACGAAAAAUGUUCUAAGUGCUUGCCAAGUUUCACUAGGGAACGACAUUCGUGGAAGUCGUCGCAAAAAAAUAAUCUAUUUUGAAGUGCUGAUUGUUUUUUUUCGCAACACCCACGAAUGUUAUUCCCUGAUGAAACUUGGCAGACACUUAAAACAUUUGUCAUUUUUUGCCACCAUUUUUUUGAAUUUUUAGAACUUUUUUAGAUUUUACUAUCCAUGGUGGUAGCAUAAGAGCUAAAACUCGGAUGGGCACUUUCCAACACUUUUUCAUGAAUGCAAAUGACACUAACAUAUAGGUGAUGUUUUCUGAAUAUUUUGGUAACUUAUUUGCAUUUUUCUGAUUUAGUAUGAAUUAGUUAUGAAGUUUUCAAACUGGCGGUCAAAUGGUCAAAGGGAAAAAGCAUAAGGGGGCAAAAUGACUUGGACAAAACUGGUGACUUUUGAGAAUUAGGGGUAAAACAGACGAGUGGGACACAACUAGGGGCAUAAAUGUAAUUAUCCCUUACUUUUAUGCAAGAGUCAAAGUUUUUCUCUCUAUUCCUUUUAUUUUUCUCCUUUGGCAAGCGUCAUGUGGUGAGGAAAGAUCUAGGCACAUAUGUCCAGUUGAAUAUGGGUGGCAUAAGUUAUUAUUGUUGACAUCACCCUUGAGAUGAGUGUGUUGGGAGGCGAACCUAUAAGCCCCUAUCUUUCUUUGUGUCCGGUUGAAACGUUUUGCUCAUGUGUACACGGUGAGUGUUAGCAAUCAUAGAAUACUAAAUGAUGGUUGAGUAUGUGGACUUGCCUACAGGCUCCAAUACGCGACCCUUCCUGAAAAGAUGAUGAAUUGUAGUUGCAAAGUUGACUGAGAACAUAGUUUGUUGGUUUCCAAUAGAGUUUAUGCUUUAUACUUCAUUGUUGUGAUGAAUUGUCACUUGUUCAUGAGAAGUCUAUGAUAAGAGUUCUAUAAUAAAAGUUUUAUAUUAAAGUUUUUUGUUGUUAUAAUAAGUCACAUGAUGUUGCUAUGUCCGUAUUUUUGUUUUUAUCGACACCUCUCUCUCUAAGCAUGUGGACAUGUUUUUCAAUUUCGAUUUUCGCUUGAGGACAAACUAGGUCUAAGCUUGGGGAAGUUGAUACGUCCAUUUUGCAUCAUGUUUUCCUACUGUUAUUUAUGUUGUUUUAUUGUAUAAUAAUGCUUCUUAGAGUAAUUCUAAUGCCUUUUCUCUCAUAAUAUGCAAGGUAUGCACUAAGGGGGAGAAUUCUAGGAGCUGGAAAUCUGGACCUGAAAAAGCUACGUUAAGCUACCUAUUUUGCACAACUACAAAUGAGCUGAAACUCCCCAAGGAUUUUUUUAUGGAAUAUUUAAGGAAUAUUGCAAAUAAGUACCAGAGGAGGGCCACCAGGUGGGCACAACCCACCUGGGCGCGCCAGGAGGCCCAGGCGUGCCCUGGUGGGUGUUGCCCUCCUCGUCCCACCUCCGGUGCCCAUCUUCUGGUAUAUAAGUCAUUUUGACCUAGAAGAAAUAGGGGGAGUACAUUCGGGACGAAGCGCCACUGCCUCGAGGCGGAACUUGGGCAGGAGCACUUUUGCCCUCCGACGGAGCGAUUUCACCGGGGGAACUUCCCUCCCGGAGGGGGAAAUCAUUGUCAUCAUCAUCACCAACAAUUAUCCCAUCUUGGGGAGGGCUAUCUUCAUCAACAUCUUCAUAGCACCAACUCCUCUCAAACCCUAGUUCACCUCUUGCGUUCAAUCUUUGUACCAAAACUAUAGAUUGGUUCCCGUGGGUGACUAGUAGUGUUGAUUACAUCUUGUAGUUGAUUACUAUAUGGUUUAUUUGGUGGAAGAUUAUAUGUUCAAAUCCAUUAUGCUAUUCAAUACCCCUCUGAUCUUGAGCAUGUUUGUCAUUUGUGAGUAGUUACUUUCAUUCUUGAGGUCACGGGAGAAAUCAUGUUGCAACUAAUCAUGUGAACUUGAUAUGUGUUCGAUAUUUUGAUGGUAUGUAUGUUGCCAUUCUCUUAGUGGUGUCAUGUGAACAUCGACUACAUGACACUUCACCAUAUUUGGUCCUAAGAGAAUGCAUUGUGGAGUAGUUAUUAGAUGGUGUGUUACGAGAGUGACAGAAGCUUAAACCCACAUUUAUGCGCUAUUCCAUAAGGGACCGAUUGGAUCCAAAAUUUUAAUGCUAUGGUUAGAAUUUAUUCUUAAUACUUUUCUCGUAGUUGCGGAUGCUUGCGAGAGGGUUAAUCAUAAGUAGGAGGUUUGUUCAAGUAAGAACAAACCUAAGCACCGGUCCACCCACAUAUCAAAUUAUCAAAGUACCGAACACGAAUUAAGCCAACAUGAUGAAAGUGACUAGAUGAAAUUCCCGUGUACCCUCAAGAACACUUUGCUUAUCAUAAGAAACCGUUUUGUCAUGUCCUUUGCCUCAAAAGGAUUGGGAUACCUUGCUGCACUUUUGUUACUACUAUUGUUACUUGCUCGUUACAAAUUAUCUUUCUACCAAACUACUCUACUACUUACAAUUUUAGCAAUUGCAGACAUUACCUUGCUGAAAACCACUUGUCAUUUCCUUUUGCUCCUCGUUGGGUUCGACACUCUUACUUAUCGAAAAGAGCUACAAUUGACCCCAUUCACUUGUGGGUCAUCAGGGGGGCGAUGGCAGCGGGAUGGAGGAGGGAGGGGAGGGAGGAGGGAGAUAGAGAGGGAGGCGGCGACAGUGGCGUGAUGGAGGAGGGAGGGGAUGUAGGAGGGAGCUAGGGAGGGAGGGGGUGACAGAGGCAGUAGCGGGCGGCAAUGCAGCGGUGGCAGACGACGGGGUGCGGGGGAGAGUGAGUGGAGUGGAGAGAGGAGAGUGAGGGACGGCCGGUUGGGGAAGAUAGGAUGGCUUUAGCAGUAGCGCGCUUUAGGGAAACACGCUACUGCUAAACGCCCUAGCAGUAGCGCCUUUCAGUCAAGAAGCACUACUUCUAUGCCCGUAGCAGUAGCGCCUUCUACGAAAACACACUCCUACAAAGUCUAAGCAUGUAAAAAUAAACAUCAAAAAUACAUUGGUCAUCAAUGAUCUUUUUGUGUGCAAUCUGAAUUGUCAAUAUGAGUCCUCACCGGUUUAAGAAAUGGAGAAGACUCAUAUUGCAUCCACAAAUUCUACAGAUAGAGUUCAAUGAAGACCAAGUGGUUGUGAUAGUUUGAGAAGUAACAUAUUUAAGGUGGUAAAAACCCUGUUCACGGAGCAAGGUGGGACUAAACUUAGGUGCAAGGAGUGGACUAAACUUAGCAGUAGCGAGCUUUGUCAAAAGGCGCUACUACUAACAUCAAUAGCAGUAGCGUUGUUUAUAAUAAGGUGCUACUGCUAUAACUAGCUUGGCGGCGAGGUCGUGGCAAUUAUAGCAGUAGCGCUCUUUUCUACUGGCGCACUACUGCUAUUCUGAUUUCAGCAGCGUGUUUUGUUGACACGCGCUACUACUAAAUAGUAGUAGCGCCUAUUUUAAGCGCGCUACUGGUAAGAUUCUGUGUAUAAGGUUUUCCCUAUUAGUGGUAGUGGGGCCCACAGCCCUCCAUUUGACCUAACUCCACCCCUAUAAAUACUCUAAAAUCAGGAAACCUACCAGGGAGUCCACGAAAUACUUUUUCCGCCGCUGCAAGCCUCUGUUCUCGAGAGAUCCCAUCUGGGGACCCUUUUUGGCACUCUGCGGGAGGGGGAAACGAGGGGUUAUUCGUCAACCUUGCUGCCCCUCGGAUGGUGCAUGAGUAGUUUACCAUAGACCUACGGGUCAAUAGUUAGUAGCUAUAUGGCUUCUUCUCUCUUUUUGAUUCUCAAUAUAAUGUUCUCGUUGUUGUUCUUAGUGGUCUAUUUGAUGUAAUGACUGUUUGCGGUGUGUUUGUUGAGAUCCGAUGAAUUGUGAGUUUAUGAUCAGAUCUAUCCAUGAAUAUUAUUUGAGUUUUCUCUUAACUCUUUUAUGCAUGAUUAAUAUAGCUUCGUAUUUCUUUUCCGAACUAUUGGUUUUGUUUGGCUAACUAGAUUGAUUUAUUUUGCCAUGGGAAGAGGCACUUUGUAAUGGGUUCGAUCUUGCGGUGCUCGAUCCCAAUGACAGAAGGGGGUAUGACAUGUAUGUCUCAUUGCUAUUAAGGGUAAAAAGAUGGGGUUUAUUCAUACAUGAGUUUAUCUUGUCUACAUCAUGUCAUCUAGCUUAAAGCAUUACUCCAUUUUUCCAUGAACUUAAUACACUAGAUGCAUGCUGGAUAGCGGUCAAUAUGUGGAGUAAUAGUAGUAGAUGCAGAAUCAUUUCAGUCUACUAAUCUUGGAUCUGAUGCCUAUAUGUUUUAUCAUUGCCUUGGAUAUCAUCAUAAAUAUUUGAUUUUCUAUCAAUCGCUCAAUAGUAAGUUUUCUACCCACCAUAUGAUAUUUUCUCGAGAGAAGCCUCUUGUGAAAACUAUGGCCCCCGGGUCUAUCUUUUAUCAUAUAUUAAAUCUAAAAAUAGCUUACUGCAAUUUUCUUUUUUUAUUUGAUAUUUUUGUUAGAUCUAUCUAUCAAAACUAUACAAUUUAAGCUUGGUCGUAACCGGUGAGGAUUGACAACCCCUCUGUGUGUUGGGUUGCAAGUAUUUGUUGUUUGUGUGUAGGUGUUAUUUAUAUAGUGUUGCUUGGUUCUCCUACUGGAUUGAUAACUUGGUUUCAUAACUAAGGGAAAUACUUAUCUCUACUGUACUGCAUUACCCUCUCCUCUUCGGGGAAAUCCCAAGGCAGCUCACAAGUACCAUGUGUCCUUGAGUUAAUGUCUAUGUCCCAUGCGAGAAAUGUGAAUGAAUUUCAAACAUCUGGGCAUCGUGGCUCGGCCCGAAACAUUGAGAAACUUGGUUUUUAAAUUCCUAUAAAUCCAAAACUCGCCCGAAAAUCAUAGAAGUUGGCAUGGUCUCAUGACAUGGCACCAACAUGUUGUGGUAAAAAUUUCGUCAAAAUUUGGGGCAAGUUUUGGUGUGAGCUUGUUACAAAACGGAGCUUCUCUCAAGAAGCAUCAUGGUUCCAAGAGGGGACAUGUCACCUAUGUGUGCGAAAUGACAUAGACAGCCUCUUCCCACCUUGAGAUUUUUAUAGAGGCAACAUAGACCAGGAGUAUCUUGCUAAUUUUAGGAAUUAAUUCGGGUUCGUUUUUCCUUUUUAAUACAUUAAUUGAAUUUCUAGGCAUCUAAUGUGCAUAAUUCAAAUUUGAACUACAAGCACAUGCUCCAGUGCACUGAAAUGAAUUGAAAAAUCAUAUAUGUGUCCUUGGGUGAAUGUUUAGGUCCCAUGCAAGAAAUGGGAAUGAAUUUCAAACACCUCGGCAUCAUGGCUCGGCUGGAAACAUUGAGAUAAUUGGUUUUUAAAUUCCUGUAAAUUCAAAAAAUCGCUUGAAAAUCACAAAACUUGGCAUGGUAUCAUGAAAGGGCACCAACAUGUCGUGGUAAAAAAUUGUCUAAUUUGGGACAAGUUUUGGUGUAAGCUUCUUACAAAAAAGGAGCUUCUCUCAAGAAGCCUCAUGGGUCCAAGAGGGGAUGUGUCACCUCUCUUCGCGAAACGACAUAGACCGCCUCUUCCCGCCUUGAUUUUUUUACAGAGACAACAUAGACCAGUGGAAGUAUCGUGCUAAUUUUAGGAAUUAAUCCGGGUCCGUCUGGCCUUUUUAUACAUUAUCUAAGUUUUAUAGCCAUUUAAUGUGCAUAAUUCAAAUUUGAACUACAUGCACAUGCUCCAGUGCACCAAAGCUGGUUGAAAAAUCAUAUGUGUGUCCUUGAGUGAAUGUUUAGGUCCCAUGCAAGAAAUGGAAAUGAAUUUCAAACAUCUGGGUGUCGUGGCUAGGCCCAAAACAUAAAGAAACUUGGUUUUAAAAUUCUUCCUAAUCCAAAACUCGCCUGAAAAUCAUGAAACUCAGCAUGUUGCCUUCACAUGUCACCAGCAUGUUGUCGUAAAUUUUUUGUCCAAUUUGUGAAGGCGCACACAUUAACAAUCAACAAAGUCACUUUGGAACAAGAGUUGUUGAUAUGUCUCCAAUGUAUCUGUAAUUUUUUAUUGUUCCAUGCUGUGAUAUUAUCAUUCUUGAACGUUUUACAAUCAUUUAAUAGCAUCUUUAUAUCAUAUUUUGGGACUAACCUAUUGACAUAAUGCCCGGUGCCAGUUGCUAUUUUUUGCUUGUUUUUUACUUCGCAAAAUAUCCCUAUCAAACGGAGUCCAAAUGCAGCGAAACUUUUUGGAGAAUUUUUUUGGACCAAAAGACAACUUAGGAGCCAAGGAAGCACCAGAGGGAAGGCCCAUGGGGCCCACAAGACACCAGGGAGCACCAGAGACCCCAGGUGCGCCCUGAUGGGUUGUGGGGCCCAUGAGGGUCUCCUACACCGCCUCUUCGCUCUAUAAAUUCUCAGGUAUUUCAGAAACCCUAGGGGAGCAGACAAAACACAAUUCCAGCUGUCGCAAGCUCCGGAACCACGAGAUCCAAUUUAGAGCCCUAUUUCGGCACUCCGUCGGAGGGGAACACGGUCACAGAGGGGUUCACCAUCCUCAUUGGUGCUCCUCCGAUAAUGCAUGAGUAGUUCACCAUAGACCUACGGGUCCGUAGGCAGUAGCUAGAUGGCUUCUUCUCUCUUUUUGAUUCUCAAUACAAUUGUCUCUUGGAGAUCUAUUUGAUGUAAACUUUUUGUGGUAUAUUUGUUGGGAUCCGAUGAAUUUUGAGUUUAUAAUCAGAUCUAUAUCCAUGAAUAUUAUUUGAGUUUCUUUAAUCUCUUAUAUGCAUGAUUGUUAUAGCCUCGUAUUUCUUCUUUGAAUCUUUGGUUUAGUUAGGCCAGUUAGAUUUUUUUUCUUUCCAUGGGAAGAGGUGCUUUGUGAUGGGUUCGAUCUUGUGGUGUCCUCACCCAAUGACAGAAGGGGUAGCGAGGCAUGCAUGUAUCAUUGCUAUUAAGGACAAAAAGAUGGGGUCUAUUCCUACAUGAAUAUAUCUUGUCAACAUCAUGUCAUCGUUCUUAUUGCAUUACUUCGUUUCUCCAUGAACCUAAUACACUAGAUGCAUGAUGGAUAGCGGUCGAUGUGUGCAGUAAUAGUAGUAGAUGCAAAAUCGUUCUGGUCUAUAAUCUUGGACGUGGUGCCUAUAUACAUGAUCAUUGCCUUGGAUAUCGUCAUAAUUAUUCGAUCUUCUAUCAAUUUCCCAAUAGUAAUUUGUUUACCCAUCGUAUGCUAUUUUCUCAAGAGAAGCCACUAGUGAAAUCUACGGCCCUUGGGUCUAUCUUUUAUCAUAUUGCUUUCAUAUCUAUUUUUCAUCAUAUUUGCUUCCAGAUCUAUUAUUUCAAAACCCCGAAAUACCUUGCUGCACUUUUUCUUUACUUAUUUUAUUUGGCAUUUUGUUCUGAUCUAUUUAUCCAAUCUCAUACAAUUUAAUCUAUCUUUUUAUCGAGGAGGGAUUCACAACCCCUCUUACGCGUCAGGUUGCAAGUAUUUGUUCUUUGUGUGCAGGUACCGUUUACAUAGAGUUGUCUGGUUCUCCUACUGGAUUGAUAACCUUGGUUUCAUCACUGAGGGAAAUACUUAUCGUACUUGUGUUGCGUCAUCCCUUCCUCUUUGGGCAAAUACCGACGUAGUUUCAAGCCAAGUCAAAAGGAAUUUCUGGUGCCGUUGCCAGGGAGACAUCAUCAACAUCUAUCACGUUCCUAAUCACAAAUCUCAUCUCCUUGCAAUUUACAUUAUUUUCCAUUUGCCUCUCAUUUUCAUCUCCCCCACUUCACAAAGUUUUUCCUUUUUAUUCACCUUCUUUUUUGUUCGACUUUUUCUUGUCAGAUCUCUUCUUUGUUUGCAAUCUUGUUUGCGUAGUCACGAUAUCUCAAGAAAAUACCAAAUUAUGUGAUUUUUCCAAUACCAAUAACAAUUAUUUUAUUAGCACUUCGAUUGCUCUUCCCGCCACUAGUGCGGAAUCUAGUGAUAUUAAUGUCGCUUUGUUGAAUCUUGUUAUGAGAGAUCAAUUUUCCAAUACUCCUAAUGAGGAUGUCGCGUCCCAUCUAAACACAUUCAUAGAAUUGUGUGAUAUGAAAAAUAAAAAAUAUGUGGACAAUGAUAUUUUGAAGUCAAAAUUAUUUCCUUUCUCCUGGCGGGAUCACGCUAAAAUUUGGUUUUCUUCUUUGCCCCGCAAUAGUGUCGAUUCUUGGAAUAAGUGCAAGGAUGCGUUUAUUACUAAGUAUUUUCCGUUUGCGAAAAUUAUUUCCCUUAGAACCCAAAUAAUGAAUUUUAAGCAACCUGAGCAUGAACAUGGUGCGCAAUCUUGGGAAAGAAUGAAAUUGAUGCUAAGAAUUGUCCUACCCAUGGUUUAAGUCUUUCGAUGAUUAUACAAAAACUUUAUGCAGGAUUGAAUUUUGCCUCUAGAAAUCUUUUAGAUUCCGCCACGGGUGGUACUUUUAUGGAGAUUACUUUGGGUGAAGCUACUAAAUUUCUAGAUAAUAUCAUGGCAAAUUAUUCACAAUGGCAUACUGAAAAAGCACCUACUAGUAAAAAAGUUAAUUCAGUUGAAGAAAUUAGUACUUUGAGUGAAAACGUUGAUGCUCUUAUGAAAUUGGUUGCUAGUAAAAAUGCCCCUAUUGAUCUUCAUAAUGUGCCUUUGUCUACUUUGAUUGAGCAAAAUAGUGAUCCCAUAGAUGUGAAUUUUAUCUCGCAAAACAAUUUCAAUAAUAACGCUUAUAGAUGUAAUUUUAAUCCUAGGCCUUUUUCUGGAAAUUUCUCUAAUAAUUAUGGUACUUCCUAUGGUAAUUCUUCUUACAAUAAUAAUAGGAACCCCUCUGAUCUUGAGAGUAAUAUUAAAGAAUUUAUCAAUGCCCAAAAGGUUUUCAAUAGUACCAUAGAAGAAAAGUUGAAUAAGGUUGAUGAUAUGUCUAGAAGCAUUGAUAGAAUUUCCCAUGAUGUAGAAAAUCUCAAGAUUAAAAAUUUUCCACCUAAGGUUGAUGUCAGUGAACCAAUUAAGGCUUUAUAUGUUUCUAUGCAUGAUAGUAAAAAAAAGAACUACUAUUCUUAGAGCUAAAAGAGAAUUUUUUAGAAAGAGCGUUUUUUACCUAUUGCUUUCAUAAUAAUGAUGAGAAUCUUAAAUUAAUUGGUGUUUCUUCUAUUAAUUCCUUGCUUAGUAAAAUUAAAAUUGAUGAUCAAGGGACUGAAAAAGAGUCAACUUUAGCUAGAAGGAGUCCCCAUGAUUCGGAGGGUGGAAAUCUUGAUGAAAAUUUGAUAAAAAUGAGUUUGGAGAGGUCAUAACUUUAACUAGCGAUGUGCCCACUCUUUUGGAUUGCAAAGAAUUUAAUUAUGAUAAUUGCUCUUUGAUUGAAUGUAUUUCUUUGUUACAAUCCAUGAUAAAUUCACCCCCUGCUUAUGAGAAAAAUAAAGCUCUUAUUAAACAUCUUGUUGACGCCAGCGGCGGCGCUGGGGGUCUUCCUGGGUAUUCCCUGGAAUACCCAAGAUUUAGGCCCAAUUUUUUUUCAAUAUACAUAUGUUAUAUUGGCUCAGUACAAACAGAGGACAAAGCGAGCCACGCAGCGAACCAGACAGAUGACCGAGCGGUGUCUGGUUGGUCGCGCGGGCGAGGAGCCAAGCAGGCAAGCGCCUCUCGUCCUCUCCCAGCCCCAGGCCCCAGUAGUUCCCACUUCCCAGUCUCCCUCCCCGGCUCCUCCGAUUCCCAAUCCCAAACCUAGCGGCAGCGGGCAGCGGCGAUUCCAGGUCUGACCGGCCCUCUCCUUCCCUCCCCUCGGGCCUCGGCCUCCGGCUCCGCCCCUCCCCUCCGUGAACUGCAUAUGGUCCGCCUCCGGUCAGGGCGUCCCGCCGGAGGCCGGUCCCAAUCCCGCGUCCGCCGUCCGGCCGUCUCCUCCGCAAGGCGCCAGUCCGCCUCCGAGAUCCGGCCUCCGGCCUCCAGUGGCCCCUAUUGACUCGACUUCCUCCACGGCUGGCCGUCUCCUCCAGCUGACCAGCUCCAAGAUAUUUUUUGCCCUGUGUAUUUUGGUAUGUGUAUUCUUGCCCUGUGUAUUUUGCAAGCACUAGACAUGCCCACUCUAACUCAUCAGGGAAGACCGAUGACCACUGUGACCCGGUUGAUUUUUGCCAUGUGCCCACUGUAACUCAUCAGUAAAACUAACUAGACCUGCUUUUUGCCCUGUGUAUUUUGUAAGAAAUCUGAAGAUUUGUGUGUAAACUGAAAUUGAACUAAAAGGAUGUCAUCACUUUAUCAAUCAAAAGGUACUUAUAUAUUCAUGUCGUUAUGGUCUGAUACAUUGAAAUGUUGCUAUUGCUGUUAUGCUAGUGUUGUUUUGUUUAUAUAUUGUUACUGUUGUGUUUUUGGUUCAUAUACUUACAUUUAGAGCAAAAAAAUAUUUUGAAUGAAUACCCAGCCUUCAUUUCCUGGCGCCGCCACUGGUUGACGCCAUGAUGAAAGCUCUAGAAGAAAAUUUGGAAUAAGAGAUUUCAAUACCUAGAAAACUACAUGAUGAAUGGGAAUCUACCAUUAAAGUCAAGAUUAAAAAUUAUGAGUGAUUUGCUUUAUGUGAUUUGGGUGCCAGUGUUUCCAAAAUUCCAAAAUCUUUAAUAAUAAACAUGUAUCAUGAAAUAAGGAAAUAUAAAAUAACAACUUUAUUAUUGCCUCUAGGGCAUAUUUCCUUCAAGGGAAGCCUUGUUCGUGGAGAUCAACGCGGAGGCGGACGAAGAGGAGGCAGAGGCGCAGGACAUACUCAGCUCCACGUGGUUGCGCCACCGGGAUGGUUCGUGCCCGCCCGCAAUGACCUUGUGGCCGACCCGUCCACGUCUGGCAUCGUCCACACGACGGACUCUGGCGAGGAAGAAUAGAAGGUGGCACACGAACGUGGGCACACCUAGUGUCCCAUGUGGGCCAUAUCCCAUAUUGGACGUCGUAUGCUUCCUCUCGCACAGCUUCACUUACCGGGGCUCACAGCCAUUUAGCUUGCCGGACAUGGGAAAGACAGCAUGUGGAACACAGACGCCUCCCCGCCGGCGAAGAUUUUAGACUACGUUAAAAAAGUGCCAUCCACUUUUGUUUAGUUAAACCUAAAUCCUAAAAAGUGUAGCUGUGCUCGUUAGCACACUCGAGCGCACACGUCUCUGCGCCGUCCGAUCGCGAUCACGCCCACCAGGUGCGCCGCUGUCUGUUUUUCCUCGCUCGCGCGUUUCACUUGGUCGGCCCGUCGCCCGUUGGGUGGGAGCGUCGGUUCCGGGUCCCACCACUUCCUCUCCUCUCGCGUCCGUCUCCCCUCAUUUUCGAAACUGUUCACCCACUCCGCCCCAAAUCCCGCAAUCUCUCCUGCCCCUGCCCCAAAUCCGCCACCGUUCGUCCCGCCGGGGUUGAGCUAUUCACGGCGAAGGGGAGGUAGCCAGCGCCGCGCGACGGCCAGUUGCGGGCAGCCAUUCACGGCGAAGGAGAGGCAGCCAGCGGCGCGCGGCGACCAGGUGCGGGCGGCGGUUCCUGGCGAGGGGGACGAUAGCCAGCGGUGCGUGCGGCGCGCGGCGACCAGGUGCGGGCGGCGGUUCCUGGCGAGGGGGACGAUAGCCAGCGGCGCGUGCGGCCUCCAGGUGCGGGCUGAGUUUACCGGCAAGGGGGAGGUAGCCAGCGGCGCACGGGCACCAGGUGCUUCUGUUGCGUUCCCUGUUCCCGGAAGAGGAGAAGUAGGCUGUGCUGCGGCGCCGCUCACGGUCGUCGGAGUACAAGUCGUCGACAGGGGAGAAACGGCCGCUGCGAGCGCCGUGCCGUUCACGCAGAGGUCAGGGUCGCGUAUAGGACGACCAUCUCCCUGCUUCGCAAUCGUUUGGUAAGGAGAUCUGGCCUUGUUUUUCUUUUGCGCUUGUUGCCCUUGUCUUGAAAUUGACGAGUAGAUAGUUGACGAGUAGAUAGUGGACGUUUGGGAUUGUUUGGCAAGGUGAUUCCACUACUGGUUGGAUGUAGGUGGUUUGAAGCCAGUUUGUCGGAUGUUUUUUGGGAUGCUGGGUUGAAGGUGAAGUGUUGUUUGGGAUGCUUAUCACAGAGGUAGUUUAGUUUUUGUUCACAUUUUCUGUAGUGUUGUUGUACUGUUGCCAUAGUGUUGAGAGCGAAUUGCUCAGUAUGGUGCAAAAGUUGCCCACACUGAAACUCUGUAGUUUGUCCCCUUUUUUUUGUCAAGUUGCUCUAGUUUUGCGAGCGACUUGCUCAAUAUGUUUCUUGAAGUUGCCCAUAUAGAAGUUCUGUAGUUUUUUGUUCGUUUUUUGCUUCACUGCGGUGAAUGACUUGCUCAAUAUGUUGCCAGAAGUUGCUCAAUGAAGUAUUUGGGCAUCAGGAAAAAACCUGUAUGUUGGUAUCAAAACCUGAAUUAGGGUCAUUGUAGUAUGUUGUCUGUCCAUAUGUUCCUAUCUCUUAUAUGUGUGAACAAUACUUUCAGAUCAAGCAACCCGCGAUAAGGCCAUGGGUAGAUGUAGAAUAGAGGGAACUAGUUUAUUGGUGUCAAUUUUUAAUCGACAUUGGUGCAAGUUGCUUGAUCUGAAAAAACAGUGUGUCUGAUGUGCUUCAGUUUUUAUUUACACUUUAGUCCAACUUUAUAUAGCAAAACAGAAAUAAAUUCAGCUUUAGUUUUAGCUCUAGUUGCCUUAUAUGACUACCCGUUUUGCCAGCAUGUCAUGUUUUCUUUCUGUAUGAGUUUGCCUGACACUUUUGCAUCAGUUUUUUAGUUUUGUUUUUUUAAUGUGAUCAUGCAUUUUAUGUGUGUCAUUCUGUGUUUACAUGACUAGGCUGAACACUAGGAAAUUUGCAGUUUUUUACUCCUUUUUUCAUGUGUGAUGAUGUUCUUUUUUACGUGCAGCACGAAAACAUGUCGGGGGCAAGCAAAAAAGGCAUACAGGAUGCCCCCCUGCAUUGGAUUCUGUUGAUGGCGCAUCUCAUGCAACUGAAACCCGUAGGAUGGAGGUGUGCAGAAUUCAUUAAAUCAUUUUCGAAACAUUCUACCUUUUUCCUUAUCUUCAUUCUUGGUUUAUUUUUUCAUAACUUCAUGUUAUGGAUUGUUACUUAUGUGUUUAUCUUCAUUUCUCAGGCUCAAAGCAGUGAACCGUUAGUUGGGUACAAGCGCCAGAGGAGUAAGGCAAUUAUCUGCCGAGGGAAGCGCCCUGAUGAUAUUGUGAGUAAUGAGAGUCUUCCCGGAGAUGCUGAAAAUGUGAGUGACAAAAGCGGUGGUGUGGAUAAGCCACCAAAUCCAAAGCGGCAGAAAACCGAAGGAAACGAGGUAUUUUCUGCUUCACCUUAUUGAAACAAUUGCCUAGUAGUGGUGUCUAAAUUGCUUUGCAUAUUCCAUUUUUGUUGAUUUUUGUUUCUUCUGUUUUUCAAACUAUUUUCCCAUAGGGUCGUAGGAAUAGGGCAUCGCCUGCAAGGCUGUUCAAAUUGAAUAAAGAGUUGGUUUCUAAUCAAAAAGGUGUUAUUAUUGGAAAAGAGUUUGGAGGCCUGCUGGACCUUGCAGCGAACAGCAUGCCUGGCGAUCUUAGUCAAUGGAUAAUGAAGCAUUAUGAUCCAGAGAUGUCACAGAUAGUUAUUCUAGAGAGGGGGAAGAUUCCAGUAGAUGCUGCGAGUGUUCGGAGGAUAUGGGGUUUGCCAAAUAGGGGGAGAAAAGUCUGUUACGAAAACCGCCCUGAGAUCACAAAGGCAAUGUUCAGGAUUUACAAUAUCACUUCAAAGAAUUCACCAUCUCUCACAGCAUGGUGCAAGAUGAUCAAAGAUAUGGCAGGAGCUCACGAUGACGACUUCCUACGCGCAUGGUUGUCUCUUGUCUUCUCUUGCUUCCUUGCACCAUCUACAAGUUUAAGCAUUUCACCAAAAAGCUUCCCUGCGGUCAUGGAUGUAAAUGGAAUAACUGAAACCAACAUAUUCCAGUUUGUGGUUGAUCAACUAAAGCUAGCAUUCAAAUCAGGUCGUGCCAAGAAGGCCGUUUGUUGCUGUGUUUUCCACCUCGUAGUAAGUCCACCUACCUUUUGAAUAUGUAUGUUUCCUAUGUGCUCUAUGUUUUCUUAAAAAUCAUAUCAUAACUCAAACUUUAUGUUUUUCUUAUCCGGAACUCAGUUGCUGUAUCUAGACUCUUUGGAUGUUGAUGAACCAAUUCCCAGCUUGGUACCAAGGGUUUCAGUUUGGAAUUCAGAUUUGAUGGCAAGAGUUAUCAAGAAGGACAGGAAAGCUCCCGGGGAAUAUGGGAAACUGCGGGUAAGCUAUUUUUUGUCAUCACAUCUGUAUUCAGUAAUUGAAUUUUAUUUGCUUUAAAAGGCAUAAGGUUAGGCAAAUCUAGCUUCUCAUAGAGGAGGCAAUUGAAUUAUAAGGUCCAAACAAGUACAAAGUUUUUUGUGGUCAUUUUUUUUGUUAUCUUGUCACUAUUUUGUAGCUGAUGCAUAAGAUUUUGUCAACAAGUAGGCAAGUCCAACACAUUGCCCGUAGCAAUUUGUAUAUUGGACAGUAGCAAGUUCAAAAGUACUUCAUGAACCAACUUUGUAGUUGUCUACUCAUUUUGUUUACCCUUGUUUGCAACUGCAUGCAACAGGUAGGAUUUUUGCUGGGGCAGUUAUAGCAGCUGAUGUCUAAAUUUUUUAAGAAAAAAUAGGCAAAUCCAAUAAUUUCACCAUAGCAAGUUGCACACUAAACAUUAGCAAGCUCAUAGUUUUUUAUGGCAACUUGAUGGUUUCCUAUAAUUGAUAUAGUCCUGCUAAGUUAUAUACUGAAAAACUAAGCGAUUCUACAUGCUAGAAACCCCAUCCACACAUGAUAAGGAAAUUUAGGCAAAAAUGAUGCCACAGUGCUUGACUUGGGUUAAAGCAUGCAUUUGUUUUUCUGUAAACUUGGCAACAUGAUAGGCUAGUUUUCUAACUAAAAAUGGCAGUUAAAUCAAAGCACUCUCACGAGCAUUUUACGGUUUCUUUUUUUUUCUGUUGUCAAGCCAGUGCCAGAAUUCACUAAUUCCUUUUAUCCCAUCCUUUAUUGUUUUUUUUGCCAACCCAACGAGCAGCUGAAGACUGAGUUCUCACGGUGUGCGGAUGAUAGCUUGUGUGGUAGCAUGGACCACGUCACAAAAUUUGUAGCAGCAAGAUUACCUGAGUCAUAUGACGAAAAUGUAAGUUAUCAAGUGCCUGUUAUGCUCACUAGUUUUUCCAUUUUUAAUCUCAAACCAACAUAUUGUCAAGACUUAUCAUGUUCAUCCAUUUUUUCUACUUUCCUGUUGUUUGCAGAAACAAAAGAAGCUGACACGUAUGGUGCACGAAAUGUGUUCAACUAUUUCACAUGCAGUUGGGAAGCUUGUUUCUGGUAUUGGGGGGAUAGAUGAUGCGCAAGAGGGGACAAGCAGAUCAGAGGCUGUUCAUUUGGAAAAGAGGAGGCAAGAACCUACUAGGAGAUCCAAACAAGCUCCAGCUAUGAGAGAAAGCUUAUCGAGUGAAGAAGACUCCUUCAAAACUGACAGUGAGGAAGAUGCAAGUGGCAGUGACAAAAGUGACUGGGACAGAGGGGGUGAUGAAAGUGACAACGACGGCCACUCAAGCAAUGAUGAUGGUGACGACUUUGUAGUUCAAAAAGCUGGAUGCAACGACAACGAGGAGGGAGAAGCAACUUUUCAGGAGAGGGGAGCAGUAAUGGAUGAAAGCAAGGAGGAUAAGGAGGACGAAGAGGAGGAGGAAGAAAAAAAAGAUGAGGAUGAAGAAAAGGAAGACGAUGAUGAUGAAGAAAGCGAAGACAAUGACAACGACAAUGACAAAGACACGGGGGACGAUGAUAUGCAGGGUGAUGAGGAAGACCAGGAUGACAACAAUUCUGGUGGCAACAGUGGCAAUGGCGGAAACAAUGGAGGGAACGAGGAUUCUGCAGGUGAGGAAACAGAGACUGAUGACGAGCAAUCCACACUUCAAUAUUUACUCGAAGAGAAAAAGGAUAUGAAGCCAAAGGGGCUUGACGAGGCAGUUAGCAUCUCUGUGAGAGAUGUUGUUAUGAUGGACAAGGAAAGUUACUGCAAAAUGCCACGCAUCCGCAUGUUUGAAGUGAAAGAAAUGUUGGAUCUCGACGAGCAGCCUAUUGCAGUGCUAGCGAGCAAAAUGUUCCAAGAGCUAUUGAGAAAAGAAGAAAUGGAACUGGGGAUGGCAUUCAAUCUUGAGGAUGUCUGCCCCAAGUGGAUUCGCAAGAAAAUCAUGAGGGAGAUAGGGGCUCCACAUGAACCCAAGGAAGUUGGUGUACCACCACUUCCAACACCAAAGAAGAAAAAGAGUGUGAGUUUCAUAUCAGAGCCAACGGUGUUAACAGAGACAAUGGAGGAACUGCGAGCUAUGCGUGCCCAAAAUGUUCAAGAACUGCAAGGUGGAAAGGAAACAAAGUCAGCCAUGAAGAAAUCUGGGCCUUUUCAGUUGCAACAUCAGGCAUUACAUCAUGCAAAAGAGGCAAGUUCUAGCACUCACAAGAACCAGCUUGAAACCAAUACAGCAUCAAGCUCAACAGCACGACAUGCAGAUCUCACCAGUGGCAAAGAUACAAAUGUUGCAGUUUCACCAGGGACUGUUUCAAAACAAGAACCAAGUGCCUCACAAAUUCUAGCAAGUCAUCCUAGGGAGGAAGCAAGUUCAUCUAAUUUUCAGGCAAGUAUUGCACAUGCAUCAAUUCAACCCACAGCAGGAGGAGCAACUCAAAUGAAACAGGAUGCAUCAUUGCAAGUAAGCAGAGCAGUCCCUAGUACAAACCGUAGUGGGAGGCAACCACUAAGCAGUCUAAAUGGUCAAGCACAAAAUCUUGUUCUAGGGAAUGGGAUGCAAUCAGCCAAUGACAUCCAGAGGGGCAAAUUGUUUCAUUACAAAGCAUCACAACAGGCUGUACCAUUAUAUGCAGGUCAGGAGAACAUACCUCCAGUGUCAAUCACAGGGGUUGGAGGGAUGGAAGAUGUCAUCGGCGGCAACAUUAAACCAAGUUCGGAAGCAAAGUUGCUAAAAGUUCAGGGCAAGUUGCCUGCUUUUAUUCCUACAGUUGCCCAAUCACCUCCCCAUCCGCAGCUGAAGAAUAUCAAAUUUAGUUAUGCUAACAAGGCGGUCAGUCCACUGGAAAUAAAUGUGCUAGAUGUCAGUGAGCUCUUGGCAAGGUGCGUUCCCCCAUCUACCAACGAUCUGCAAAGAAAGUCAGCAAUUCAUAUUCCAGCAGAGAUGGAUGGACAACAAUUUCAGCAUAGCAGAAGUGAAAGCUCAAAUGUCUUUGUUAGUGAAUACUGCCCAGCUCCAAGUUUUGAUAUUUUCAAAUACGAUUUUCCUACAGCACAUGUAGAUGAUGGAGCAGAUCGAGAUGCCAGAGAAAAUGCAUUGGCUGACCAUGAGUCAUCGCAGUGCCAAGUAACCAAGGAGCCAGUCAUUGAAAUUAUUGAAGAUGAAAAAGUUGGUAAUCUCGAAGGCAUAGAUGAAGGGUAUGCACAUGCAGAAGAACAGGCUAUGAAGUGUGAGCAUGAGUCCCUGCAGUAUCAAGUACCCAAGGAGCCACUCAUUGAAAUAAUUGAUGACGAUCAUGUUGUGGAUCUUGAAGGCAUAGUUGGGAACAUUUACCAGACACCUAAAAAAGUUACCCACAACCAAGUAGUAGUGGGAUCAGGCAGUAAUAUUUAUAGCAGCAGCAGCUCAGGAAAGAUGGUCCCACAACAAUUUGAGAGAAGGAUUAUCAAGCCACCUCCUUGCAAGAGGUCACCAUUCUUGGACUAUAAUGAGAGGAAAGUGUACAUAUGCAAACCUGAAGUAAGCAGGCUGUAUGCAUCGGUUAUUCUGCACGGGAGAUUGAAUGAAGAAGAAUCACCAGAUGUAGAUACUAGGUAUGAAAUUUUUUAUGAGGCAUUUUUUACAUGUUUUUUCUAGGCAAUUAAAAUGCACCAUUCAGGCAAUUCAGGCUGAAUUCAUAGGCAAACAGAAGUAAAACAAGCAGGCAAAAAGUCACCCCAUGAAGAAUACAUGCUAACCAGAAUGCACUUUCAGGCAUUAAUACAUUUUUCCCAUGCCUUAUAUAUGCUAACUAGACAUGCACUUUUUAGGUAGAAAGAAUUCAUUGCAAAUUGUCACAACCCCAAGUUUAUGUUCCUUAGGCAAAACAGGAUCUAUUUAUAGGCAAUCAAAAGUACAGCAGCAGGCAACUUGGGUGCUAACUAGACAUGCACUUUUAGGUAGAAAGAAUUCAUUGCAAAUUGUUACAACCCCAAGUUUAUGUUCCUUAGGCAAAACAGGAUCUACUUCUAGGCAAUCAAAAGUACAGCAGCAGGCAACUUGGUUACUUUUUUCUCAUGGUUGUCCUUUUUCGGUUUCUCGUUUUUUAUUGCAGCCCGAAGGUAAUUGACUACAAUGGAUAUGAUGUGUCGGUGAGGGAGCUUGCAAACUCUAUGAAAAAAGAAGGAUAUAUCUUGACACAUGUAAUGGAAAUUGGCCUGCAGACUCCAAGAAGGUUGUCAUGCCCCUGAGGUUCUCGGUAAGGAAAAGGACUAGGAGUCAUUAUUACUUCAGGUUCUGCAUUUUUUUGUACUUGGUUCCUACUUGGUCAUUUCUAACCACCUUGUCCCUUUUUGUGUUAUAGACAAGGAUGCUGCAGAUGACUUUCCUCUCCAAUGAUAUCAACAGCCAAGAGAUUAUUUCCCGAUUCAAGAAAUCAAAUCACCUGGACCGGAAAGACAUGGUAAGUCCAUGUUUCUCGAAUUUCCACUAUAGUACUCUUCUCCCAUUCCUUUUUUUCCACCCGCAUGUGAAUAGCAGAGUACUAGUUUUCAGGACAUGCAUGAAAGUUGCCAGAGUGCAGAAUCACAAUUAGCUUUUCGGCAUAGCAUGAGAAAACUUUUACAUGCUUUCCGUAUCUCUUCAAGUUGCCUACAGACUAUGUUCUUACCCUCAGCUUUUAUUUUCUGCACUUUUUCCCACAGAUAAUGUUUAUUGUGUUAGAGAAUAUCGACAAGUCAAAGAAGGUUUCAGGCAACCAUUAUUGGGUCUUCAACAUGAAUAUAAGGGAUCGAAGGUUCGAGGUGCUUGAUUCAUGGAGGACACUUCAGGACAAGACUCUAGAUGUCUGCGCAAGGACUAUGGUUGCUAGUUUUCGGGCUCUGUGGGAAGAGCACUAUCCGAAGUCUCACAUCUCAUUAGAUGACUUCACACUAAGAAACAUUGAUGUGCCAAAACAAACUAACAAGUAAGCAUCAAUUCCCAGACAAACUGCAAAACAAAUUCCUAACAAAUUCAUGCUUGUUUCAUAGCUGACCUGAAACAUUCUCUAUAGAUAUGACUGCGGCAUUUUUGCUCUCUCAAUUGCAAAUGGGUGGGAAGGAAGGAACGUUCCAAGAUUUACAGCAGAGGAUGUUCAAAAUAUCAGGAAGCAGUUGACAAACAUGUGGGUUAACACCAAGCGCAACAAGGCUCCAUGGGAAGCUGUAUUGAAGUUAGCUUAGGUCAGUUAUUUUCUAUUCAUGUUUUUUUACUGAGUUUUUCUUUUUGCUCGCGUACAAACUGAAGUUUGCCAGCAUUAUUUUUACAUGAAUAAUAUUUUCAUCAUCGCCCUUUUUCCAGAAGUCAUAUGUAAUUUUUUGAACAUUCAAGGAGUUGCCUGAAACCAUUCUGUAACUUGCAACAACACCAAACAGAAUUUGCCUACCUUUCAAUGGUGAAAUGUAGUCAUGGAACACCCAUAUUUUUUGAACAAUCAAGGAGUUGCCUGAAACCAUUCUGUAACUUGCAAUAACACCAAAACAGAAUUUGCCUACUUUUUUCCACGGUGAAAUGUAGUCAUGGAACACUCAUAUUUAACACCAAUCUGUUUAACUGUAGUACCAGGCAAUCUAAACAUAAUAAUCACGCAAUCCAUUGUACUAAUAUAGUUAUCCAGAGCACUUUUGAACCUUACAGGCUUAAAAAGCAAGUUGUCUUUUUUGCAUGAAAGACAGUAAUUCAAAUGAGGGUAAACAUAUCAUCGGGCAUCUAGUAAUUGCUCAUUUUUUUGUCUUUCAUAAUCGAAACUCCAUCUGUGUUCCCGUAUUCCUGUGGUGUUCAUCACGCCAAUCUUGUGGGGCACAGUGCACUGUUGUGGUUGUAAGACCCACAGUAACUGCACUUGUUCUUCCUCUUCGGAUGCAGCUCGAGUGCUGAUUGCAACCUUUUCGACUUCGUUCUCCCUUUUGUAGUCGAUUUUGGGGGGUCUCUAGGAACUCGGGUGUCAGGUGUAGUAGAACCACCUUGCGCUGCUGCAACAGCUGCACGUAGGGAUUCCAUGUUGAGUGGUUGGCGUGCAUGUCCACCAGGAGGUUGCACCAAAGAAGAUGAGACUGGGGCAACAUGUGCUUGUUGCACAGUAGUAGAAGUUAUAUACAGCCCAGAAGCACAAGCAAUUGUUGCAGAAUCUGUAGGGAAUGCUGCAAGGCCAGCAUUUGUAAGACGACUCAUGUCUGCUCGUGUAGUAACCAUGGAUGGUGGUGCAUCCCCCCUAAGUGGUAGUGCAGGCCAGUAGGUUGUUUGGGGAGCCCUCAUCGUUGUUGGUUCAGGCUCUAUGGUUAGUGUUCCAGGUCUGAACAUUUGUCGCGGAGCCCCCCUCAGUUUUUGGCCAGGCCCACUGUUUAGGGUCGGAGUCGCCAACAGUUGUGGUGCAGGCCCCCUGGUUUGUGGCGCAGAUCCCAUACUCUGAGGUACAAAUCCUAACUGUUGCCCUGCAGCGAACGAGCUUGGCACCGCAGACCCCUUGUGCACUGGUGCACCCCCAACUAAUGUGUGUGGAUGCACACCCUGCCCCAUACUGUUUGUAGGUAGUGAUGUUGCAUUUUUUGGCUGUUGGGCAGAAAUAGUUUGACGCUGCCUAGCACUAGCAGGGGCUUGCGCAGCUUUUGGUGGUGCGUUGCCACUACUUGCUGAAGCAUUUGUCAUUGGUGGCACAGGACCACCAGCUGAUGGCGGUGGCCCACCAGUCGGUCCACUGGGAGGGGCUGCUGUUUUCUUUUUCCUUGACAGGCUGAGAUUCUUUAUUUCGUGACGCGCUCCACGCAUAUGCUUCUUUACAAUAUUUGUCGCAGCAUCCGAUGCACUAGCAACCUUAGCAAGUCCACCAAAGUCCAUCAUCAAGUUUGCAUGACGGAGUUCUUUCUUCGAUUGUUCCGGCAACUCAUCAGACUUAUCCUCAACAGCAGGCGGUGCAUCCGUGAUUGCUAGAGGUGUCCAUCUUCUUUUGAUGUACUGCGUUGGGAUUUCAUCAACCCCAAGAUGGUUGAAAACCUUCAAUAUAUGGCAGCAAAGCAUCCCAUCCCUAUGAAACUUGCAACACUCACAUCUGUAGUCUCCAGCACUAGUUUCAACAGUCACAAAAUAGCUCCUAGAACCAUACUUAGCAACCCAUUCUUGAUUGGGGUAAAGCUCAUACAAGUGUUCACCGUGGGGUCGCACGUUGUACCUUGUAGUCAACUGAAAUUCAUCGCGGAAUUUCUCGUACAAGUCUCUAGUGUAUGAAUUGUAGGCUUGCUUUUCAAUUGGGUAAGAUGACCACAUUUCACUUUGCAAAUGUCAUGUCCUGUAAUCCUUCGCACCCUCUCGAACUAGUAUGUGUGUUUGGAUUUUCUGAUAUUGCUUCACGAAGUUCAAGAUGGACUUGUGUGGGUUCACAUAACGCUUAAGGACAGCGUUGAACCCCUCACUGCGUUGUGUUGACUGCAAGAAAGGGAAGAAUUGAUGCUUGAAGUAACAGGGCACCCAUGUUUCUUGGUACUUGUAUAGAUUCUCAAAGUGGGAGUCAGUCAUAGCCUCAUACUUCAUCAUCAGCUCACACCAACCUGCCUCAAACUCCUGUGGUGUAAAGCUAAAGUCAACACAAUUGUUGAAAUCUUUAGACAAGCCAGGGUUUCGUCCCAACAAUGGCCCAAGCUUCUCUUGUGCUUUCUUCAUAAUAUGCCAGCGACAACAGCGGUGCACACUUGUAGGGAAGAUUUUCUUAAUUGACUACGCCAUUGCAAUGUCCUGGUCGGUUAUGAUGUUGGUUGGCGCUACUCCAUGCAUUGCUUCAAGGAAGGUUUCGAAUAGCCAAUCAAAACUAGAAGCCAACUCUUGCCUAACGAAACCACAGCCCAACAUAAAUGAUUGCCCAUGUCUAUUAAUUCCAAUAAACGGCGCAAAGGGAAUGUUGUACAUGUUAGUCAUGUAUGUUGUGUCAAAGGAGAUGCAAUCAUGAUAAGCUUCCACGUAUGCCUUCCUUGCUGCACCAUCGACCCAGAAAAUAUUCUCCACUCUGUCUUCUUCAUCAUACUUUAUCUUGUAAAAAAAGUCUGGAUCUUCUCUUUGCUGAUCUUUGAAAUAUGCUACUGUCUCUAUCAUGUCGCCUUCUCUUGUAGCAUCCUUGUUCAAGACCGUCUUCAGGUUUGUAAUGUGCUUAGUUCCAUAAGGCACAAUUAGCUCUGUCCCAUAGAAGUCUGACAUGAUGUGCAUCAUGCGCCCUGCAUUCAAUGGAGUCAAAAUGAAGUCAAAAUGGUGGUCAAACCCUUGUUACCUAAGAACAGUACAAAAAAACAAUUUUGAUUUCUUUCACCAACUAACACAACUAAGAACAGUCAACUCAGGUGGAUAUUUUAGGCAUUUUCAUCCUAAUGUACAAGCAACUAACACAACAAACAUGCAGGUAGGCAGGUAGAAGAAAUAGAAGAACAAGCUUCAUAAAACCAGUCAGACAAACUUAUUUUUGGGCUGUGGUUUGUACUAACAUGCAUUUGCACAAAAGGCGGGUAGGCAGGUAGUAAAUAUACAUUGAGCAACUAACAGACAAUUUAUAGGCAAGUCCAUCUACCACAUUUCACAACAAAGACAAGACAACAGAGGCACGACCCAUCGCGUUUGUUUUCUGAUCAAGAGCAGGCAAAUAAUACUUAAAAACAAGGCAAGUUUUAAUGGGUAGCAGACCUUUUUUCAUAAAAAACAAGCAUGUUUUGUGUGCUUAGUCUGGCAAAUCACACACAUGCUGCAAGCAAGAUGGAUACAAUACUUGGGCAAGUCUGGGCAGUUAAAAUUGUCGGAGAGAAGGGUAAUAUGGUUAUAGACCUGUUGUCAAGUUGCAGUUAUGUAGGUGGGUAAGGAAUGCCUUUUCUUCUGGUGGGAUACAUUGGUGCGAUCUCAAGUACUUAGUCAAACUUGGUUUGUCAACUAGUGGAUGGUUGUGCUCGCCAACAAAAUAUAUCACUUCCCAUCUGCCAUCUAUCAGUUUGACAACCAUCUUAGCUUUGCAACCAGUUUGCACUAUUUUAUCUCUCUUCCGCUUCUUGCUCCUCUUUUUGGUUUUAUUAUCAUCAUCAAGAAAGACAAUAUCCUCGUCUUCAUCAUCAUCUUUUGUUUGCUCAACGAUAUCAUCCAGCACAGGAAUUUUUUUUGCCCCUCCGUCAUCAGCUUCAGGCUUUCGAAACUUGUUGCAAACAAACUGUUGUUUUAUCAACACUCCAGUUUUCACAGCCUUCCUUGAAGUAUUCAUUUUGAUUGAAAAACCAAUCUGCAAGGCAUAUGCAUUGUAGUGCUCUUUUGCGCCUUCCAAAGUGUCAAACCUCAUGCCCACAUGAGGCUCCUUCGGUUGUGACCAAGCCUCUUCAUCAUUUUCAGCACCAAAGCCUGUCAAACCAUUACCAACAGUCACACUUGUAUCACCCGCGGCAUCCGUGCCAUCAAGGGUAUGGCCAUCAGUCUUAGAUUCUUGCGCUGCAGGUGCUUGCUCAUCUGUCUCCACUGUUUUUGCCACAGGAGUUGUGGCAUUUUGCACUAUAUGAGGAGUAGGAGAAUCACCGGUUAACUCAGGAUUUUGAGCAGCCUGUUGUGUAGAGUUCACUGGAUCACCAAUAUCCAUAUCAUCUGGUUCCUCAUUUAGGUCAAUCAUCUUUUUUACAGCAUGUGCAACAUUUAAACCAGAAAAACCAAAGCUAGUUAGUUUGAUGUCAAUCAAGUAAGAAACUAAACCCAGGCAAUCACAACUGAAUGAUAAGAUAGCAUUUUUUGUUGUUGUAAGAAUGACUUCAACAUAGAACAUUUUUUGUUGUUGCUGAAAAUCACAAACUGAAUGAUAAGACAGCAUCUUCUUUUGAGCAUCUAUUUUUUGAUUGUAUCAUAAUUUUUACUAACCUUUUAUCAUUUUAAAAUGCAGGCAACUCAUACAUAUGCAUGGUUUUCAAGGAUCUCAAGGGGGAAGCAAGCUAGAUGCCAGAGAAUAGACAUUUUUUUGGAGUGUUUUCAGCAUGGAUUUCACACCAAAAAACAGAGAGAGCAGCAGCAUGUUUUGUGUCAGAAAAAACUUAAGAAUAGCAGCAGUCAUGGGCAACAUAUGUUUGUCCCUUUUUAUGUUCAGUACUUUGUUUUUCUCUUAAAGUUUGUACUGGGAGCAACUUUGGUUAUCACUGUCUUUGUGUAGUCGCUUUUCCAAGCAAUCUGUUUGUCGAGGUCGUGAAUUGUUUCUUCGUGCUGCAACUGAUACAUCCAUUUUAUAGUAGUUCUAUAGGAAAUUUCUUUUGCCAUUUAUUUUUUGCAGGAUCAAAAUAGCAAUAUAUGUUGCAUCCACCCGCAUUGUUCCCCGCCAAUUGCAAGAUCACAACAACAACAACUGUUGUACGAUCAUGCAACCUACACCUUAUUGGAAAGGUAAAUUAAACCUCACUUUUUUUUGUCACUAGUGAAUAAAAGUACCAACGAUAAACCAUUUGUAGUAGAUUUUAGCUUUUAUACAUCACUUGCUUCUUCACAAUAGCUUUCUUGCCUACCUCUUUAUUCCAAGUUGCUUUUCCAUCAGCCAUGAGUUGCAUGUUUUUCACAGUAUUACUUGCCUAGUGUUCAUUUUUUUUACAAGCUGAUAAUGCAAGCAAUGAUUUUUUUUGCCUAGGUUUACAAUGCAAGUUGCUGCAGACAAUAUUUUUUUUGCCUAACUUCAUACAGGUUACGAUGCAAGUUACUUUCUACAACCCAUCAACCAUCAGCCAUGAUGUUCAUCCUUUUUUUUCUACUUGACACAUGCUUACAAUCAGCAGAAGCAGGCAGAUGAUUCAAUAAUCAACACAGGGUUAAAAAUCGUUCAUAUGAAAACAGGACGAAACACAGAUGGAGAAAAUCAAGAAGCAGCUCCAUUUUUUUCUACAGAAGAUGCUGGAGAGGGCUGGGGCUUGGGGAAGGUGAGCAGAUCUACAGCUUUUUACCUCUGAACUUGCCUGCUUCUGCUGCUUCUAGAUGUGUUUAGAUCAACAGUUUCAUGGACGCCGUCCGUAUUGCAGGCUUGAAGCUUUUGAGAUCUGAGCAGGAUGAACCUUGCCUCUUUCUUGGGGGAGAAGAAGAUGUCUCUCUUUUGGGACGGCUGGAAGGGAAUAGGAGGGGAGGAGAGGUGGGGAUGGAGAAAAGUAGGAUGGAAAAGAAUCACGUGAGUCGGGGUGGUGGAGCAGGUUGUGAUUGCGGGGGAACGUCCCCUUUCUGAUCGAGGGGGGACAGAAACUUACCUUUUCGGGGCCUAUCAGGGCAGGCCGCCAGGAAACGCUAGGGAGCACACGGCUGCUCCCUAGACGCGUCCUUAGUUAAAAUAUGUCAAAAUGUAAUGAAUUUGGUCUCACUUAAAUGAAAAUCAUUGUGUUUGCAUGAAAAUCGUCCAAUUUAUUUAAAUUCACUUUGAAAUGUAUGCAGACACGGUUGAAUAACCGGCUUCCGUAUCACUGUCCACGAACAAAGACGCAGUGCCCGUUUUAGUAGCCCGCGUAGGAGAUGCCCGUAACAAUUCGACAAUUCACCAUACUCCAAUCAAACCAUGGACUUAUAGAGGAUGCACUUGGUAUGGAUGUAGCGUCUGCAUCCUGCUGCCGCUAUUAGGUAGGUAUCUAUGAACGGUAUUUAGUAUGUUAGUUGUCGGUCGUCGGGGUAGCUACAUACACAUGCGUCCAACCUGCUGUGUGACGCAGCAGUUCUUGCUGACAAUUUGCACGCGCAUGAUAACUACGCAUACCAAGGUUUUAAAUAGUAUCACGAUUCAUUAUCAUGGUGUGCUCCCCAACCCUUAACACAUGCACAACUCUAUGUCAGCUUUCAAUACAAGCCCAGUGGAGAUAACCGAUCCAGUUGUAGUUUUGCUUGUGCUCCCAGACAUCACGAACGUAGAGUUGAAGCCCUCAAUUCAUUCACCUAACUGUUUGUUGUAUUCAUACAGCACUGUUACAUAGUAGUAAGUCACAUAUGUUUGCCACUUCAUUUUAUUUUCAUUCUCACAAUUAUCCACAUCAUCAACCUGCCAUCUCAUGCAUGUAGGCGCUACGCAUUGAUCGUUGUGAUUCGGAUUAAAGGGUGAAAUAGGGAGUGGAGAAAAUUCGUGAAAAAAAAGAGGGAGUGGAGAAGGUGGAACAUGCACAAAAUUAUUGGUUGGACGAUUCAUCCAUAGCUAAAUAUAUUUUUUUCUCGAAUAAGCAAAGUGUGUGUCAUUGCAUUGAUAGGAGAAAAGAGUUACAAGCUAGAGCCAGUCACACACUAGAAUUAUGGCUAGACUAGCAAAAGCAAAGAUACAAGUAUCGUUCAAGGUGGUUCAAAAAUGAAAACGCGUAGCCCCUUCGCCCCUGCCGAAGCCCACAUCUUAGCUUCCGCAAGGGCAGCUCGGGUAGCUUCGACAGUAGAGGGUCGCUCGUUGUCGAAAGUGCAAGCAUUCCUAUGCUUCUAGAGGGUCCAGGCCACGAUCAUCCCAAGGGAGGCAGUACCUUUGCGAAGAGAAGCCGAGGCUGACGGUGUGGAUGCUUGCCACCAAUCAAAGAAGGGCUCGUCACCUUCCCGGAUGCUGGCGGUUAGCCGAAGCUUAGGGAACACAUUGUGCCAGACCAAGCGGGGGAAGGGGCAGCCGAUCAGGAGGUGUUGCAUGGACUCAGUAGCUUGAUCGCAGAACACACAAGCAGGGUUGUGUGGCAGGUCGUGGCAUCCCAGCCUCUCGUUGGUCCAACAUCGGUCUUGUAGGGUCAACCAUAUGAAGAAUUUGACGCUGAGAGGGGCCCAAGUAUUCCAUGCAAGUGCUGCCCGUGGAGAUGUGGUGGAGCCUAGGUAUAGGGCUUCGUAGCAAGACUUUGCUGAAUAGAGGCCCUUAGCCGUCCAGCGCCAUUGUAGACUGUCCGACUGAUCAAAGAGGGCGAUUGGGAGCACAUGCCUCCAGAGCUCAAUGUAUUGGAUCGUGGCCAGGGUUCCCAAGGCGCCCACGAUGUCUUGAACCUAGGCUCAGCCCUGGAGUCCAUCGCUAAAAAUUGAACCAAUCUUUUUUGCACAAGAGGUUUUGGAGAUGGUUCUAACAAAGGAGAAGUAUAAAGUAUUGAUCCGACUUGGGACAAUCAAUAUUUUCAUCAAAUGCUUGAAUUCAACUUAUUGCCAAAUCCUUCAAAUCAUUAUGUUGUUAACGGAACACAAUUUGUGUUUGGGGUGCAGAAAUAUUCCAUAGCUACAAGUCUAUGAGUUUGCCCGUAGGAAUUCAUGAGGAAUCGUCUUGUUACAAGGUGGAGAUUGAGAAGCUAUAAGGAGAGAUUGCAUAUGAAUUAACAUAACUAGAUGAUAUCCCACAUUUUGAUGCGGCUAUUUGUUGCAAUAUGUUUUAGUGAGAUUUGGUUAUUUGAAAUAUGAAUAUUUAACAUAAUACUCCCUCCGUCCCAAAAUUCUUGUCUUAGAUUUAUCUAAAUACGAAUGUAUCAAGUCACAUUUUAGUAUUAGAUACAUCCGUAUCUAGACAAAUCUAAGACAAUAAUUUUGGGACGGAGGGAGUACUAUAAGAACUGAAACUGAAAAUACAUAUGCUUUUUAUAUUCAAUUAUUGUAUAGUUGUAAAGAUGCAUAUAUUUCAUGCAUGGUUGCAUGUUCAAGUGAGCCUUUUCUCAUACAUGGUUGCAUGUUGUGGUUGCAUUGCUUGCAUUUGAAAAAAUGGGUUAGUGGAGAUCACCUAGUAAGUUGUAUAUAACCAUAUAGGAAUUACUUUAUGUCAUUUUAGAAUGUGAUACAUGUUCAGAGUUCAUAUAAUUUUCUUUUUCACCAGCAUUAAAAAGUUUAACCUGCCAAGUGAGAUUAGACCUUGCAACCACUCAUUAAUCCUUUAUUUCUUCUUUUUUUUCACCUAAUUAGAUGGACUCACCAUUUAGUACGGCAACGGUGGUUAUUCCGAGUAGGGAAUGAAACAUCGCGAUAUAAAAAAAUUCCAAGGACAAGCCAAAUACAACGGAUAUACGCGUGCGCGCCCACAUCCACACACACCCACACCCGCCCACCCGCCCAACCACACACACACACACACACACACACACACACACACUCACAUUCACACACGCAUUCACUCACUCACACAAUGCUCAGUGAAGAUUGGACUCGUGGAGCAUGGGGAUUACGACAAAGUCGCCACAAGACAAUGCAUUAUGAUGAAACAUAUAUGGCCUCAUACUAGGAAAAAUAUGCCUUGGGAUCAAGGGUUUAUUCCUAAAAGGUCUAGGGGUCCAACCAACUCAGUAGCCGCCCGGCGCCGACGGUUGGUUCUUCCAGUAGUGAUUUUUCAAAAAAAAAGUCUCGAAUACACACAGCCUGCGUAUCAAAUAUUAUAGAUAGAAAAAUGGGACAGAGCCCAGUCCAUUGUAAUGGUUUGCACCAUGAUGAAAUAUUUCUGCACCCCAAACACAAAUUGAAUUCUUGUGUGUUAAAAGAACACAAUUAAGUGAUUUUUCAAUGAAAUAUACGCCAUGAUGGAGUACCAUUUGAAGUACCACUUGGCGAUUGAAUUCUUUUAGCACACGAGGUGAUACAAAUACAGCUAAACAAUGCAAGUGAGUUAAUACAUCAGUUUCAAUGUCAAAGGUUUCAAUGUCAAAGUGUUUUUCCCCAAGGACUUUUGUGUACAUUUCAUAUGAAUUUUAGAAUUCACUCAAACCUCUUGAAGGGAAUCAUUUGUUUCCCCCGUAGUGCAAUCAAACAAACAAAAAUAAUGAAGGAUCCAAAUGGGCAUGACAUUGCAAUUCCGUGCUUUUCCUAUUCCUCCGUAUUUAGAAUCCUGCAAAUCAAAGAGCCCUGAAAACCCCAACCUUUUACUUCCAAAAGCUAUAACUCUCUACUUUUUUUCACAAAAAUAUNNNNNNNNNNNNNNNNNNNNNNNNNNNNNNNNNNNNNNNNNNNNNNNNNNNNNNNNNNNNNNNNNNNNNNNNNNNNNNNNNNNNNNNNNNNNNNNNNNNNNNNNNNNNNNNNNNNNNNNNNNNNNNNNNNNNNNNNNNNNNNNNNNNNNNNNNNNNNNNNNNNNNNNNNNNNNNNNNNNNNNNNNNNNNNNNNNNNNNNNNNNNNNNNNNNNNNNNNNNNNNNNNNNNNNNNNNNNNNNNNNNNNNNNNNNNNNNNNNNNNNNNNNNNNNNNNNNNNNNNNNNNNNNNNNNNNNNNNNNNNNNNNNNNAUUUUAAAUUUUAAAUAUCAAUGAAGUAUUUUUUGGUAUUUUAAUUGAUGGAAAUAUUUAUAAUUUUGAAGCUUUAAAAGGAACUUCUUUUUAUAUCUGGUUUUUGAAUGAGAAGUGUGAGACACAUAUAGGUGACAUGUUUCUAAGACCAGGCUAAAGUGAGUUAGGGAUUGGUUCAUGUUAGUAUUUUACCCAAAUUAAGGUGAUGGGUAGAAUUUAUCCACUUUUAAAAUUCUCGACGAUAAUAUGUACACUCACCCGAUAGUUGAGGGUUAAAACACACACUUGUCCUAAGAGGGCAUUGGUUUGGUUGAACCAGUCGAAAAGUUGACUAGAAAAUGGGGGUGCAUCUUAGCAAAGCUAGUUUAUCCGAAGGAGGAUAAGGUCAGAUCACGCGGUGGCCAGAGACGAAUUCAGAAUUUAAAUUUUGAUGAUUUAUGCCUUAAAUUGUAGUUUUAUUUAUUUAUCACUCGCUUCUUUUUGUUUGGCAUCGUGAUGUAUCAUAUUCAAAUUGGUUUUUAGAUUGGUGCAGCACAUAAAUACAGAUCCGCCGCGAAAACGACAACAAAUAUUUAUUCGAGCAUAGCAUGGAAAUAGAGAUAUUACAUAAGAUGCACAUAACAUGGUUCAACCAAUAUUACAUCUCCAAUGUGACCAACAACACAAAAACAUUAAACAGUUUCGUUGUCAACCCUACCUCAAAACUGGUCCCGUUCCACCCCACCCGAAGUUAACCCCUCCAACAAGAUGGCCCAUACAUCAACGCAGCUCCCUAGCUCCGCAGCUCCAUCGAUCCCAACAUAUUACCAUCGCGCAACAGUAUAGGAAGACCAAGAGAAGAAUCCCCUGUAGCUGCAGCGCUACCUAGCGCCCCUUCCAUCCCUAGCGCACGACACGGCUGGCGACACUGCUUACCCUAGCUAGGAGGAGUGAGGCCAGCUCGCGCUCUCCCAUGGCCAUGAGCGAGCAAGAUGGGCAGCACGCCACGAACAGCCUUCCCGGAGAUGCGGCGAACGGCGCCGUCGACAUCGACUCCUUCUCGCAGCUCCCGUUCGUGCGGCCCAAGCCGCCCCCGGCGAUGGAGGCCGGCGGGUCGAGCCCCACGUCGUCCAUCCGUCUCUUCGGCUUCGACUUUCCACCCGACGGCGCGGCCUCCUCCGUCACCGACGGCGAUGCUGCCGCUGUCAGCUCCACUGCUCCCGGCCAGGCAGCGGCGGCGGCGUCGGCGUCGGCGUCGGCGUCGGCCGGUGCAAGUGGCGGCAGCGGUGGUCGCAAGUUCGAGUGCCACUACUGCUGCCGGAACUUCCCGACGUCGCAGGCGCUGGGAGGACACCAGAACGCGCACAAGAGGGAGCGGCAGCACGCGAAGCGCGCGCAGUUCCAGAGCGCCAUGGCCAUGCAAGGUCACUACCCCGCCCACGCGUACCCCGCCUUCGGCAGCGGCUACCACCACCGCUUCGUCGCCGGGCCGCCGCACAUGGGCCGCUACGAGCCGCCGCCGCACUACCCCUCGUGGUCCAACCACCACCACCUGGCGCCCACCAUGCCAGCGGCGGUGCCCAGGUACUACGGCAGCGGCCCCGGCUCCGUGUCCCAGCCGAUCAACGGCAGCCCGGUGCCGGCGUCGGCGCUCUGGCGGGUCCCGGGCGUCAGCGUGGCGACACCAGCAGCGCCGCGGCAAGAGCGGCCAACGCCCUUGACUCUUGCCGGGCGUGACGACAUGGCGGUGGCGUGGGAAAGAAGAGGACAAGCCGGCUCGGCGUCGUCGGCGUCAUCAGCAUCGUCGUCUUCGCAGCAUGAGGCCGCGCGCCACGGGGGAGAAGCCGCGGAGAACAGGGCAAACGUGAGCCUGGAUCUCACCCUGUAAUUCUCCAAGAACGGCGCGGUUGAUUAAUUAGCUGGUUCGUGAAGACCAAGAACGAAGGUUAAUUCUUUUUUUUCUCUAGCUCGUGAAUUCGUUUAGCUCGAUCGAUCAGCGGAGAGAUUCUUUUUCCUUGGGUGUCAAUUUUUGCAGUGUUUUCUUUCUCCUACUAGAGUACGUACUCAUUCGUCCUGCUCUUCUCGCAUCGCUUUAGAUUGCUUUGUAAGGAAAAACGGAGGGGAAAUAAAUGGAACGAAAGGGAAAAUGGGGAGUGUUGUCAUUUUCAUUUUCAUAUUCUUGAGCACAUUUUCCAGCAUUUUUAAUCUUCUUU